GAAAAAAUUUUAAAACUCACUUAUAAUGAUACAGAAGGAGUAUAAUAAAUAUACAAUAUUUGCUAAUAAUAUCUGCUAUACUUUAUAUCCUUCUAUAGGAUCUUUAUCUUCACUCACGACAAACCCAAAUCUCCAUCUCCAUCUCAAUCUCCGACACCUCCAUCUCUUUCGUUGGUCUAGAAACUCAACCACCAUCACUUCUAUCUCCGCCAACUACUCCACCAUGAAUCGUCUUCAUCUCUGUUUUCCUCCACACCUCCGUCGUGUUCGUCACUGUCAUCGGCAAAGAAGAAGAACUCGAUUUCCCCUGGGUCCUCCACCAUAAAUCGAGUUACUUGAAUCUGUAUGGCUUCUUCUUCGGGUGAACGUCAUUAUGUGUUCCAUUACUCUCCCCUCAAUAUGAAUUAAAAGAUGCAGUUGUAAGUCACGAUGAAAAUGGACCAUGUGUUGUUGAAUGAAAAGUAAAAGGAAGAAGACGACAAAGAACGACAUUGGCCUUGAAGCAUGGAUGUGAGCUGCAUUGGCCUUGUCACACGGCCAUGUUAUCUGUUUGCAACGAAGUUUCAUCCUGAUGCUCUCGACACAUUGGUCAACCUCGUCCCUGACUACACAAGCACAGCCCUUUGAGAGAGGAUUCUUGAGCCGAAACACUUGCUAGUCUUGGACCUAAUUAUAUUCUUGGCUCUCUUAGAUACUGUAAAUUUUUUGAAAAAAAGAAACUGAAACAAUUCUUGGAAGUUGAUGCUUAUUCACAAUUAGAGCAGAAAUUUUUGGUUAAAGAGUUUCAUUUUUUUUU